rnacentral:rRNA from 1 species
UACGUAGGGAGCAAGCGUUGUCCGGAAUCAUUGGGCGUAAAGCGCGCGUAGGUGGCCUCAUAAGUCCGCUGUGAAAGUCAAAGGCUCAACCUUUGAAAGCCGGUGGAUACUGUCGGGCUUGAGUACGGAAGAGGCGAGUGGAAUUCCUGGUGUAGCGGUGAAAUGCGCAGAUAUCAGGAGGAACACCAAUUGCGAAGGCAGCUCGCUGGGACGUUACUGACGCUGAGACGCGAAAGCGUGGGGAGCAAACGGG